AGAUUCCAAUCCUUGGCACAGAGCUUCUAAAACCCUUGAAAUUUCUGGAUUGGCCAUGCUAUGGCGGACAGAGUGCUGCCAGAUGCUGAGGGUUACUCAGGUCCUGAAAGUCUUGUGGAAAGAGACUAGUUUGGCACUGGCAUCAGAGAGAACAGCUGUCACUUGUCAGUGGUCUUGCUUCCAGACUAACAGCUACAGAAGAAGAAGGCACCAUCUUUACCCAGCAGGCUGAGCAACUAAGACCCACUUACCACUGUGGACAGGCUUCAUCCAGACCCCUGAGCAGCUGAACAGAAUGAGAACAAAGAAGGAGCAUGCGUUACUUUUUCAUAACGACAAAAUGCCCGACAAGAAGCCACCGGGGCAAGGACUUCAGCUCAUCUGGCCCUGGUGGGAGAGGUCCAACAGUGUGCCAAGGCUGGAGGGGCCUGGCGGUGUGUUAUGGUGGGAGAGGCCUGACUUUGGCGGUGGGAGCUUGUACACACCCCUUGUUCAUAUCAUAUCCAUCUAGUGCCAUUGCAAGAGACCUAAAGAACACUUCACAUGUGGCAUGUUUCAGGCACAGCUGUCUCUCACACAGCACAAAGAAAUCUGAGUCCCUUCAAAGUCAAAGAAUCAGUGUCACUGGAGGGUAUAUAGCAUUUUGAGAAGGAUGCCCAAUUUUCCCUGCUCCUCUGAUUCCCAACACGAAGCAGUAAUAACCUUGCCCUGGCAGUAUAGAAAGAAUCAUUGUAUAUUAGUCUCCAGAGAAGCAGAACUACAGCAUGUACUUGUGUAUUGUGCGUGUAUAUAUGCAUAUAUGUCAUCAUUGUGGUGGUUUGAAUAAAAAUGGCCCGCAUAGGCCCAUAGGGAGUGGCACUAUCAGGAGGUGUGGCCUUGUUGGAGGAAGUGUGUGUCAGUCUUCCUUCCUGCUGCCUGUGGAUUCAGAUGUAGAACUCUCAGCUCCCUCUCCAGCACCAUGCCUGUCUGCAUGCCGCCAUGCUUCCUGCCAUGAUGAUAAUGGACUAAACCUCUGAAACUGUAAGCCAGCUCCAAUUAA